rnacentral:rRNA from 1 species
UACGUAGGUGGCAAGCGUUAUCCGGAUUUAUUGGGCGUAAAGGGAACGCAGGCGGUCUUUUAAGUCUGAUGUGAAAGCCUUCGGCUUAACCGGAGUAGUGCAUUGGAAACUGGGAGACUUGAGUGCAGAAGAGGAGAGUGGAACUCCAUGUGUAGCGGUGAAAUGCGUAGAUAUAUGGAAGAACACCAGUGGCGAAAGCGGCUCUCUGGUCUGUAACUGACGCUGAGGUUCGACAGCGUGGGUAGCAAACAGG